rnacentral:snRNA from 1 species
GUGCUCAUUUCAGCAGCACAGAUACUAAAAUUGGAAUUAGCAUGGUCCCUGUGCAAGAAUGACACAAAAAUUUGUGAAACACUCCGUAUUUUA